GACGAACGCUGGCGGCGUGCUUAACACAUGCAAGUCGAACGGAAAGGCCUCUUUCGGGGGGUACUCGAGUGGCGAACGGGUGAGUAACACGUGAGUAACCUGCCCUUGACUUUGGGAUAACUUCAGGAAACUGGGGCUAAUACCGGAUAGGAGCUCCUGCUGCAUGGUGGGGGUUGGAAAGUUUCGGUGGUUGGGGAUGGACUCGCGGCUUAUCAGCUUGUUGGUGGGGUAGUGGCUUACCAAGGCUUUGACGGGUAGCCGGCCUGAGAGGGUGACCGGCCACAUUGGGACUGAGAUACGGCCCAGACUCCUACGGGAGGCAGCAGUGGGGAAUAUUGCACAAUGGGUGGAAGCCUGAUGCAGCAACGCCGUGUGCGGGAUGACGGCCUUCGGGUUGGAAACCGCUUUCGCUCAUGACGAAGCUUUGUGUGACGGUAGUGGGUAAAGAAGCACCGGCUAACUACGUG
rnacentral:rRNA from 1 species